AUAGAACUCCCCUGACUCGUCACCUAACCUCCCUGUGUGACAGCAGGAAGAACACGAUCAGGAAAUAGCAGGCGUCGGUAGCGUGCGGUUGUUAGACGAAGUUAAGAGACGAGAGAACUCUGAAGCAGCUCUGCUCUGUGACACAUUUUUUUUUUCUAUAAAACUAAUGUUGUCAGUGUCGUUAAAAAACACGACUCAUUGUUAUUUAAAAGUUUCGCGCCCGUCAUUCACCUCGAGGUCAGACGCCACAAGGGGGGAGGGGCAAAGAGUUCAUGAUGGACAUAUAAGCAGCACUAGAUGACAGUGGAGAGGAAAAAUUCCCUCUAAGGCAGAAACCUCAAGCAGAACCAGAUCCAGGGUGGGCGGCCAUCUGCCUCGACCGGUUGGGUUGAGAAAGCAGUUCCAGCAUGUAAUGUGAUGCCAGUGUCACUGUUCUAGCCCCAUACAAAAACAGUGUGGGAAGACUUCUAACUGUCCAAGCAUUUCUGGCCAGACCAAAGAGCCAAGGACUAUUUCUGGUGACACAAAAACUCUCAUUCAUACUUUAUACACCGCUUUGACUGAGCCUAUCAACCCAGUAUUUGUGUUGGAUUCUCUUUGACUCUCUACAGUGUUUUUAAGCUGAAAAUGGAUAGUGCUUGGUCAAGCUUCACACCUGAGGUGACCAAAGAAAGAGUAGGCAUGUCAUACAGGUUCAAGUUCCCUGGUUCAGGUCUGUUCCAUUGUUCUUUUACUGGGCUGGUGUUCAAUGUGACUCAUGAAGGGGAGGUCACGUACAAGUGUUUGAUCUGGGAUGACAUGCUCCUCCAACCGGCUAACAAGGUACCUGGAGGACCAUUGUUCAGAAUCAGUUGUCCUCAGGAGUCUAUCUCUAAGCUGUACCUCCCACACUGUGAACCAG